rnacentral:rRNA from 1 species
GCAGUCGCCGCGGUAAUACGUAGGGUGCAAGCGUUGUCCGGAAUUAUUGGGCGUAAAGAGCUCGUAGGCGGUUUGUCGCGUCUGCUGUGAAAUCCCGAGGCUCAACCUCGGGCUUGCAGUGGGUACGGGCAGACUAGAGUGCGGUAGGGGAGAUUGGAAUUCCUGGUGUAGCGGUGGAAUGCGCAGAUAUCAGGAGGAACACCGAUGGCGAAGGCAGAUCUCUGGGCCGUAACUGACGCUGAGGAGCGAAAGCGUGGGGAGCGAACAGGAUUAGAGACCCCAGUAGUCCCUGUCUCUUAUAC